GCCGGAGUAGCUCAGCUGGCCAGAGCACCUCAUUCGUAAUGAGGGGGUCACGGGUUCGAAUCCCGUCUCCGGCU
rnacentral:tRNA from 1 species